UACCAUUACCUCUGUUGCUGG
rnacentral:siRNA from 1 species